GGCUGGGCAGGGCUGGGCUGGGCAGGGCAGGGCAGGGAAGAUCCCAGCCUCCUCCAUCUCUAUCUCUCAAGAGCUUCCUGAGGGCU
rnacentral:miRNA from 1 species